GUCUAUUAUUUGUAUGUCUUUCCAUAUCUCGGGACCAUGGGGUCCCGGACCUUUGGGAGGCAUGCGUGGGGCCGAAGCCAACAGCACAGAGGCCCUUUAAGACAAGUUUGAUGUUAUGUAAUACACCAGCUAGAACCCAUUCACGGGUACAAAUAGAUACCCGUAAAUCGGUCCCAGCUGGCAUAGGAGCUAUUGUAAAUGCAGUGGAGAAGAGUGCCGGUUAUGGUGUUGAAAUUUGGCUGGUCAAAAGAUUGGGCUAUUGCCGAGAGGUCCGGACACCUGCCAUAACAAAGCUUCUACACGUUAUCGAGGCAGGCGGUGACUUGCCACUAACUAGAUGGGCCCCUGAAACUGUCGACGUAAAGACGACCAGGAGCAACACUGGUGUAAGCGGCUCAGGGGUGUCGAGAGGUGUGCGCCGCUUUCUACCCAGUGGCUGUUAUAACAGCCACUGUGCCAACUCGCGUCUUAUGCAUGUUUCACUUCCACCCCUGGAGCAUAUAGCUCUAACGACUCCUCUCUGGACGGCCAAUGAAGGCAAGCCAGAGCUGAGAGUCCUGCGGGUCCCCUUGGGGUCCACUCUGACCGACAAAGACACGCCGGAGACGGAGACCCUGACCGACUCUCGGGAGCACUCGGGUCCGUGGGGUCGUUACUCCCCAACAGCUCGCCACAAGCUGCCCUGCGGGCUUAUUAUUAUUAUUAUUUUGUGUCUCCUUUUGGAUUUCACGGGCCUAUAAAUCCCGGUCUUUUGAUAGGCUUGCGUGGGGAUAUAGAUCCAACACGUAGAGGCCCCUUGGAGAGCUUUAAUGUCAUGUAGAACGCCUGCUGGAACCCGUUCACAGGCGCAACAAUAGACACCCAUGAACCGGUCGCAGCAGGCAUUGGGACUAUUGUAGAAAAAAGAACAGUAUACCGGUCUAUGGAUUGAAGUUUGGG